rnacentral:tRNA from 1 species
CAGUAAAAAGCCAAAAAGAGGCAUUUAACUGUUAAUUAAAUCAUUGUGCUUUACACACUUUACUGG